rnacentral:rRNA from 1 species
UGGGGAAUAUUGCACAAUGGGCGCAAGCCUGAUGCAGCCAUGCCGCGUGUGUGAAGAAGGCCUUCGGGUUGUAAAGCACUUUCAGCGCGGAGGAAGGCAGUCGUGUUCAUAGCACGAUUGAUUGACGUUACUCGCAGAAGAAGCACCGGCUAACUCCGUGCCCGCAGCCGCGGGCAUACGGAGGGUGCAAGAGUUAAUCGGAAUUACUGGGCGAAACGCGCACGCAGGCGGGUUGUUGAGGCAGGUGGG